GUCCCUGUAGCGCAAUGGAUAGCGCGUUGAACUUCUAAUCCAAUGGCCGAAUCCUACCUGGGAUA